rnacentral:rRNA from 1 species
UACGGAGGGUGCAAGCGUUAAUCGGAAUUACUGGGCGUAAAGCGUGCGCAGGCGGUUUGUUAAGUCUGUUGUGAAAUCCCCGAGCUCAACUUGGGAAUUGCAAUGGAUACUGGCAGGCUGGAGUAUGGUAGAGGAAGGUGGAAUUCCACGUGUAGCGGUGAAAUGCGUAGAGAUGUGGAGGAACACCAGUGGCGAAGGCGACUCUUUGGCCUGUAACUGACACUGAGGCGCGAAAGCGUGGGGAGCAAACAGG